AUGUGUAUACUGUGCGCCGUGCAACGGUGGUCGCGGCGCGUCGCCACCAUGCUGCCGUGGCUCGUCCUCCCGCUCAUCCUCCUCUGGGCGCUCUCCCAGCUCCUGCCCGCCGCCUACCGCUUCGAGGUCACCUCCCCGCGCCUCGCCUGCGUCUCCGUCCUCCUCCUCACCCUCUUCUGGUACGAGAUUCUCCUCCCGCGCCUCUCCAUCUGGCGUGCCCGCCGCUCGGCGCGCCUCCGCGAGGAGCGCCGCGCCCAUGCGCUCGAGCUUCAGAAGCUCCGCAAGACCGCCACACGCCGUUGCCGCAACUGCAACAAUCCCUACAGGGACCAGAACCCUGGCGGCGGCAAGUUCAUGUGCUCAUACUGUGGCCACGUAUCCAAGCGGCCCGUGCUUGACCUUGGCCCUGCGGGGAAGGUCCCCGCUGGGUGGCCUUGCAGUCAGGAUUGGGCCAAUGCUGUUGGUGACCCGGGUUACUGGCUUGACCUGCAGUGUUCCGCCGAUAACUCGUACUCAGGCUUCUCAUGGCGGCUGUUCUCGUGCUUUUGCACCAGUAUGGCAUGGUUCUGGAAGAAAGUGUUCAGGUUUGGGUCAUCAGUGGACAGCGGUGGAUUGGGCCGGGAUGGCAGAAUGUUGACAAAAGCAGGGGACAAUGGAGGCAAGGCUGAGGAGAGCAGAGUGGACAAGGCGAAAAGGAAGGCUGAGGAGAAGAGGUUGGCGAGGUUGGAGAGGGAAAUGCUAGAGGAGGAGGAAAGGAAGCAGCGAGAAGAGAUGGCAAAGCUAGUAGAGGAGCGGAGAAGGCUGAGGGAUGAGAAAGCAGAGGCUGAGGAGCGAUCCAAAGGUGCUACCCCCGUCGGGGAGAAGGAUGCUAGGAAGGAAGCAGAACGGAGGCGGCAGGAGAGGAGGAGGAAGGAAGACAAGGGAUCAAGCAAGAGCAAUUCAGACUGCGAAGAUGUUGAGAGAAGAGUAAGCAGAGAAGGUGAGAGGAAGCGCGACUUUGAUAGAAGGAAUGAGACAGACAGGCGGGAUGCGGCAAGAGUUGGGACAGAUGGAUACAAGCCCAAUAACUUUGAAUCUAACAGUCAGGGUAGUAAGAUAGCACAGAGCAAGACGAAGUACUUUGGUCGUAUGACUGGAGGUUUAUUAUCUUCUUCCAGAGGUUUUGGUGGUGGCUCCUUUUUUGGUAGAAGUGCUCAGGCCCCUGUUCAUCAAGCUAACAAGGUGACUAAACCGCUCAUUGCUGCAACUGACCAGAGUAUUAAAAGAGAUACCCAACCUGCAGCCACACCAGCAAUGGUCAAAUCUGCCACAGCCGGAGAAACUAGAAAUUCAUUGACUAAUUUUAGUCGACCUGUUAGUCCAAAUAUGCAGGCACAUCCUACAGGCCUUAAAAAGUCAUGGCAUCAGUUGUUUAGUCGCUCAGCUGCAGUUUCCCCUUGUCCCGAUGUUACUGCUUCAGCUCGUGAGAAGAACAUGCAGCCUGCCCCAAAUGGGUUUCCGCCAGUGAAUGGAGCAUCUGCCAAUAUGCCGCUAUCUCAUUUUCCAGCGGGACACUCGCCCUUCGGUAAAGUUUCAGAAGCAGCAUUACUGGAAGAACCUGAGCAAUUUGAGGACCCGUGCUAUGAUCCAGAUGCCAUUGCAUUGCUUGGUCCAGUUUCAGAGUCCCUAGACAACUUCCCUCCAGACUGGGAUAGCAGAUUCACCUUGAAUGAUGUCACCAAGCAACCACAUGUUAGGAACCCCAUGCCUUCACCAAUUGAGUCUCCUCUAUCAAGAUCACGGACUGUUGAACGAAAUCCUAUUAGACCCUCACAUUUCUCAACUGCAAAAGGGCAUAAUGGUUCAAUGUCAGCUGAGGCUAACAAUGAGCAAGGCACAUGGCAAAUGUGGAGCACGCCGCUGGUACAGGACAGUUUAGGUCUGCGAGGUCCUCAGGGACAAUGGCUUCUACCAAACACAAAUCAAUUCAACCAUGGCAUCAAUCAUUUGAAUGGUGGAACAAGAAGCCCCCUCAGUGCUGGUCUGAAUGACAAUGAUUUAUGGCUGCAGAAAUCACCCUUCCAGCAAUUGCCUCUUGAUACAGAUAGUCUGUUCCUUUCACACGACAUGUCAGAAAAUGCUAUACACAGUGACUUGGGUUUUGGAUCUCCAAACAAAACAGCCCGUGCGCACCCCUUUGGACCACCUGAUCCUUGUCAUUCUUGGUCCAAGGAGCAGCUGGUGCCGAAUGGACCCCAGGGAGCUAGUCCAGUCCGCUUGCCGCCAACUGGAGGGCAUGCCGGUUUAUUUCCAACAAAUCCAAAUGCACAAUCAGUGUGGUCGUUUGAUAAGAAAAGGGACAGCAUAGAAGUUAUGGGUGAAGCAAGGCUCCCUCCUUCCAGCUUAGGGAGUUGA
rnacentral:rRNA from 1 species